AGAUCUGUAUGUAUUUCAUUUCAUGUGGUAUUUAUGUAAAUGGUAUUGUUUUUAAUUUCAUAUUCCACUUGUUUUUUGUUGGUAUAUAGGAAAAUUAUUUGCUUUUGUAUGUUAACCUUGUAUCUUGUGAUCCUGCUGUAAUUGUUUAUUAGUUUCAGGUUAUGUUGAUUCCUUUGGACUUUCUACAUAGACAAUCAUUGUCAUCUGUGAACAGAGAGCUUUAUUUUUUCCUUCCCAAUCUGUAUACCUUUUAUUUCUUUUUGUGGUCUUAUUGCAUUAGUUACUGAUUCCAGUAUGAUGCUGAAAAGGAGUGAUGAGAGGCUACAUGUUUGCCUUGUUCUAGAUCUUAGUGGCAAAGCUAGUUUCUCACCAUUAAGUAUGAUUAUAUAUAACCUAAGUAAGCUUUAGGGAUUUUGUAGGUAAUUUUUAUGAAGUUGAGGGAGUUCCACUCUAUUUCAACUUUACUGAGAGUUCUUAUCAGGAAUAAGUGUUGGAUUUUGUCAAGUGCUUUUUCUGCAUCUGUUGAUAUGGUAAUGUGAUUGUUCUGUUUUAGCUUGUUGAUGUGAUAGAUUACAUUAAUUGAUUUUACAAUGUUGAACCAGCCUUGCAUGUUUUGGAUAAAUCCCACUUGUUUGUGGUGUAUAUUUUUUUAUAUAUUGUUGGAUUUGAUUUACUAUUUUUGUUGGGGAUUUAUGAAGUUUUCUUUUCUUCUAAUCUCUGCCUGGUUUUGGUAUUAGGGUAAUGCUGGCCUCAUAGAAUGAGUUAGGAAGUGCUCCCUCUGCUUUUGUUCUCUGAAUGAGAUUAUAGAGAAUUGGUGUCAUGUCUUCCUUAAAUGCUUGGUAAAAUGCACCAAUGAAAUUUUGUGGGUUAUUGUUUUUGUUUCUGUUUUUUUACUUUCUCAUGAAGCACAAACUGGAGAAUUGAACUUUAUACUAAAAUUUUCUGUUGCAAACCUUUUAAAGUGAUAACUUGGGUAUUUCUGUUCCCUUUCUUUUGUCCUGGGUGUUUCAAAGUUGAGGCAUGCUGAGGCACCAGAGUGGGUUUGUUGGUUGCUUGUCCUUCCUUCCCUUUCGUGGUCUCGUAAGGAAAGGGAGUGAGCAUAAGGGGCUAUCUUCCCAGGAGACUGUACGCAGGUAGAACUGAAAUGGCCACGUUGGGGAAGUGCUGUAUAAGGGGAGAGGAAACUGUUUUUUCUCUUUCUUUCCUAAGAGGAGGGUAAAUGUCUGUUUUACACAGUCCCUGCCCUUUCUAAGCUCUUAAAUCACCUGGAGAGAAGAAAAUAUUCAGAGAAUUAAAAUACAUUAAAAAUAUGUACAAGCUCCAUUACUCAAUGUAAUAGAUUUAAAAUAGGUAAUAUUUAUUUUUUUGUAUAGGAGAUUUUGAACUAUAACUGGGAAUUUAAUGAGAUUUUUUUUUCCUUUGUGUUAUGUAAAGAGGCACCAAACUAACUUUUUUUACAAAGGCUUUGUGUUCAAAUUUGUAUUUAGCCCCCAGAAGUUUCACUAGAAUGUAAAUGUAAAUAAUAAACAUUACAUUCUUUAAAAAAAUACCAUUUCACACCUACAAGACUGACAAAAAUAUUUUAAGUGUGAAAAUACCAAGUAUUGGCAAACAAAUAUUGAAAAGGGAGCACUCAUAUCCUACCAAGGAAUGUAAACUGUUAUAACCACUUGAAAAACAAUAUGGCAAUAUCCAAUUAACAAGAAGACCCACCUACAGCUCUCUGUGACCCAACAGGUCCUCUCUUGAUUAUGUAACUUGGAAAAACACCUGUAUACACACUCAACAGAAACACGAAGUCCUGGCAUCAGCAUUUCUGAGAGCACAAGACUGGAGCCAGCUGAAAUGCCCAUCAUCAAAAGAAACUGUAAUUAAAUCUUGAUGGACUGUUUUUAAUACAACAUCUUCAGCCAUGAAGAUAAAAUGAAUUAGAUCUGCAAUUAUCAACAAACAUAGAACCUAUAAACGUAAUAGUGAGUGAUAAAAACAAGUUUCAGAAAUGCAUGUGCAGGAAGAUUCCACAUACAAAAUGUUUAAAAAUAUGCAAAACAAGAUUAUACAUACGUGGUAAAAGAUAAAAGAAUAAAAAGAAUGGCCUAUAAAAUACUCAAGAGAGAGUGUCUGCCCCUGGGAGAGGGAAGGAAUGAUAGUGAGGAUGGGUACACCAAAGGCUUUGACAAUAUUUGCAGUUCUUUACUUAUUAUUCUGAAUGGUUAAUACCUAAAUGUUUAUUAUUUUUUUACAACUUUGGUAGACCUGAAACACUUCAUAUAAUUUUCCAAACACAUUAAGCCAAUUUGAAACAGUGCUACUUAAAAAUAUUAGUAAAAUUUCAGUGUAUACACAAAAUUGAAUAAUUGAGAAACCCAAAACUUUCAUUAAAGUCAAAUAUUGAAUAAUCUCUAACCUAGGGGGCACCAAAUCCAUGACAAAUGUUUAACUUUAUUAUAUCAGAGCAGCACUAACUACUUCAGCUGAUAAACAGAAAUUCCUACCAUUCUCUUUCAGGAUGUCAACUCCCAGAACAACCUCUCAGAACAUCUGUGAGAUUUCUUAAUGAUUUUACUGUGGUUAUUAAACAUUCAGUGUUGUUAGAAUAUGACCUGCUUUUUUGUAACAAUAUCAUUUGUGACUUCAUUAACUGAUGGAAGCUAUUAGAGUCCCAAUAACAACAUAGUAAAAAUAAGUGCAUUCUUACCAAUUGGAUUUUAUAUAAUCAGGGCAGGCUAAACAUUCGGUAUACUAAAACCAUGCAUGUGUCCCCAGACCUAGUUCUUUACCUAAGUCUGGUUUUCUAAAUGCUGGUGAUAAACUAAGUCUGAUUUAUAUGAUGCAUCUUAUGUGAGAAAUGUCGGUGACUAGGUGUCUGAUCAAACUAGAUAAAUGAAUAGUAUAGCUAGUAAUACCUUUUGAAGAUAAUCAUUGCUAAUUUGAUGAUUACCAGUUCCCAUUAAAUGAAUUGUAAAACUAUUGUGUUUUAUUUUCUAAAAACAAAAAAAGGGAACUUCAGAACAGAAUCUACAUGUGAUAAUAGAUUAUAAAGGAUGCCAAAAAUUGCUGUGAUACUUUUGAAACAGUUUGUUUCAAAAUAUUAGAGACAAUGGGAAAAUAAAAAAUAGCACUUAAUCUCUAUUCCAUUUAGUUUACUAAAAAUGUUGUAUGGAAGUAGCAUAGCACAGUAUUAUUAACCUCUAGGUUAAGAUAUGCAUCUUAAUCCAUGUAGCUAUCCCCAUCCCCACCCCAGCCAUCUGCUCCCAUUAAUGACAUCUGAACCAUAGGAAAAUCUGGCAAAACAGAGCCUUCAUUCCAUCACAACCAUGAGUGGAAGGAGCCGGGUAGAAGCUGCCACGGCCAAUGGGGUAUACUUUCUCCUUGCAUCACACUCUUUAUCAGUUCCUACUGUUUAUACCAGGGGUGCUCAAACUUUAGUUUGGAUCAGGAUUACCUGUAGUGUUUGUUCAAACAAAGAUUGCAGAACCCACCCCAGAGUAUUGAUUUAAUAGGCCAGUGUGGGGCCUGAGAAUUUGCAUUUCUGACAAGUUCCCAGGUGGCGCUGAUAGAGCUGGUCCCUAGGACCAAUGUCUGCUGCAUCUGUCUUUACUACACAGUCCCUCUUGGCACUGAGGUUUGUGGCUCCCCCCAGUCCAGAUGAUACAGAAAAUGCAAGUGUUCACAAAUAAUUUAUAACAGAAUAGUUAUCCCUAUAGUAAUGCUAUUUCUAUCUGUUAAGUGUUUCAAUAUAUUUUCCUGAGUGACUGAGAAGAAGUGAAGUCAUUCCCUGUAUUUCUGAGUAAAGGCCUUGGAACAGGUCUCAUUUAUGGAGACCUGUGAGUCCUGAGGAAGGAAGUUCAAGAGCCCUUGGCUUCCCUGUGUAAUGCUCUGUGUGCUCCAAGGGUUGGGUGCAUUUGGGAAUUUGUACAAGUAAUUCAAGUCUUUUCCUCAGUGGAAACUGGGGAUAAUAAUAUGCCCUCAUAUAAACCACUGAUGAUAUUAAAAAGAGAUCACAUGUGCCCAUAUAGGAGCUAAAGGCAUAUUCAUUCCCAUUUCCUGUCUCUCUCCUCUGAUUGAAGUGGAGGGAAUUUGGAAAAAUGUCACAGAGGACAUAACCAUUGAGUGACAAUCCUCCCUUAGAGGCCAGGGAGGAUUGGAAUGUGCCAAUGUAUUUAUUUCCACAGUUCAGACUGAAGAGCCCCUCCCGUCCUCUCUCCCCACUUACAUGACUGAGGACAUUUGGAGACAGAGGGUGACUCUGUUUGGGUUGCAGUGGCCUCGAAGAGGGAGUGUGCUGCAGCUCAGGGCUGUCUGAUAGGUCCCCUGUGUUGGUGGGGAGAUUCUACGCCUGGGCAGUUAGCAUAGUCACCAUUACCUCUGUGUGGCUUUUGAGUACUUGAAAUGGGGUGAGUGUGACUGAGGAACUGAAGUUUUUAUUAGUUAGAUUUAAAUGUAUAAAUAGCUACAUAGGCUAGUAGCUACUGUACUGAAUUGGAUAGGUCCAGAUUCAAAUGUCCUUCUGAUGCCAGGGUCUCAUGCAAAUUACACUGAGCACAACCCUACUGCCCUGGGCCCCAUGUGGUUGUCAAGAGGAAGAAACCAGGUUACUGAUGUAGAGUGCUGAGCACAGAGGAGGUGCUUAAAAAGUGUCGACUGCCAUCCUAGCACUAAUUAGUAGUUUGAAUAUUGAUAAAGUUUCUUUUUGGGAAUUGUCCAGCAAAGAAAAGCAAAUGAAUUCUGAGGAGUUCUUUAGGCUAUAGGCAGUUGACUGUGCAUGAAGAUUUGAGGGAUCUCAGAACUUUGUCAUCUGGACCUUUAACACAUUCUAUGUGCACGUGAUUGUAUAUGACAUGGAAGUGGACGGAGCCACCACCCUGUGAGCAGAGUGACCUGUUUUACCUCAGAUCACCUGAAUUCUGAUGGGAGAGGCAAACUGCACACUUCAGUGAGAAAAACAGGGCUGGAAUGAAGGACUUCCUCCCCAUGGUCUGGCUGGACUUGGGGCAGUUCUGUGACACAGAUAUAUCUGGCAAGCUACAAAACGCCCCUGCGUGCAGGCAGCACUGGGAGGGUGAGGCCCCGGCUUGGAUUACUGUAAAAGAUCACUCUGGUGUGGUUCACGUGCAGCAAGUGUGGACAACCACCUGGACAGAGUGCACUUGCCCUUUGGCUUCUCACGCUGGCUGUGCAUCCUGUCACGGGGCUUGAUGAGGACAGAGAUGUGAACCCGCAAGCUACCUACAGAUCACUGUGAUUGAACAAGUGAUGAAGUUCUUGGGAUAGAAAGAGAUGGUCCUGGCUGCCUUUCAAACCCAAAUUCAGGGCCAGCUGAAUCAUCCAUCAAUCAUAUUCCAUUCCUUCCAGGACCAGGGUCCGUGGGGUUUCCGCUCUGGUCCUGCCCCAAGAAGGCCCCCUAGCAUCAGCUAGGCCCGUGUCCAGCAACUGAUUCCUCUGCCUUGGUCUCCUUACCUGUGAAUUAUGGUGCCACUAGGACCUGCCCUGGGGCCUCUCCUGAGCACUGGGGCAGCCCCCUGCUGGUAAUGGAAAAGAACCCAAUAAACAUCAGCUGAUUCUAAUCAUGGACCUUUGCUGGAAAAUGGUCCCAUUCUGCUCACUGCUCAGAAGAAUCCAGAGCACACUGGCUCAUCUUCCCUGUCUCUAUUUUGAGUUUCUCUUCUUUAAGGUGUGUGGAGUCCAUUAGGACUUCU